CAGUAGUCACGAGUUUGAUCAUGGCUCAGAUUGAACGCUGGCGGCAUGCCUAACACAUGCAAGUCGAACGAGACCUUCGGGUCUAGUGGCGCACGGGUGCGUAACGCGUGGGAAUCUGCCCUUUGCUUCGGAAUAACAGUUAGAAAUGACUGCUAAUACCGGAUAAUGUCUUCGGACCAAAGAUUUAUCGCCUUUAGAUGGGCCCGCGUUGGAUUAGCUAGUUGGUGGGGUAAAGGCCUACCAAGGCGACGAUCCAUAGCUGGUCUGAGAGGAUGAUCAGCCACACUGGGACUGAGACACGGCCCAGACUCCUACGGGAGGCAGCAGUGGGGAAUAUUGGACAAUGGGCGAAAGCCUGAUCCAGCAAUGCCGCGUGAGUGAUGAAGGCCUUAGGGUUGUAAAGCUCUUUUACCCGAGAUGAUAAUGACAGUAUCGGGAGAAUAAGCUCCGGCUAACUCCGUG
rnacentral:rRNA from 1 species